rnacentral:lncRNA from 10 species
GGCUGCUUAUCAUAGUUUUUAUGCUUUUAAUUUUUUUCUAAUUGUAAAAGUGCUGUAUGCCCAUCAACGGUCAACUGGAUAAAGAAAAUGUGGUACAUAUAUACCACAGGAUAUUAAGAACAAGAUCAUGUCCUCUGAAGUAACAUGGCUGGAGCUGGAGGCCAUGACCCUAAGGGAACUGACACAGGCAAGAAAACCAAACAUGGCUCUCACUUAUGAGUGGGAGCCAAACGCUGAGCACACAUGGACACAAAGAAGGAACAAGAAGUCAGCAGGGCCUGGUUGAGGGUGGAGGGAGUGAGGAGGAGGGAGAGGAUGGAAAAACUACCUCCUGGGUACUAUACUGAUCACCAGGUGAAAUAAUCCGUACCCCAAACCCCGGUGACAUGCAGGUUACCUAUAUAACAAACCUGCACACUUACCCCUGAACCUAAAAUGAAAGUUAAGAAAAAGUACGACAAUUUCCAUUCAAGAGUACUGAAGGUACUGAAGAAUUUCCAUUCAAGAGUACUAAUUUUCCAUACUGAAAAUUAGGGCAAUUCAAAUACUCUGUCUUACAUAUUACUAUCUUAUAUUUGGAUGCAUCCUAUGUAUGUUGGCAUUUUACAGGUUAAUUGGCAGUUUUUUCCCUCUUUCAGUGGCACAGGAAAAGAAGACAUACAGUAUGUACAGUAUAGGGUGCAUGGUAGGUAUACGGUACAAUUUACCUACACUUUACUCAUAAAAUACUAAUGUUUACUUUUUUGGCAUAUUGAUUUGAGUCCCUUUUAACAAUUUCUGUCUACAGAUGGGACUCACGGUCUCUGGACAGUUUUGUGCCUGGCUUUCUGAUCCUAUUUGUCUCUCAUAACACUUUAGAGUCCUUCCUCAUCUUCACACAAGCGUGGGUCUCUCUCUGAGUGACGGGAAGGGUGGGAUGCAGGAUGCAGCCAGCCCUGUAGCAGGCUCUGUGGCAUGUGAAGCUACAACGUGACCGAGGCCCCAGCGUGACCACAGAUGCUGACCAUGCCUGGGCUUCGCAUGAGCCUCAGAAGGACCAGGAAGGAGGUGUAGGAGCUCUGGAGGUGCCGUGUAGCUCAGCCCACAGGAACAUGGAUCUCACAGAGCUGCCUUCUCCUCAGCAAACAGCUGCUGGGGCAGAUCUUAGAGGCGACAGUGUUUUACUGUCACACAUAGGCAAGGAUCUCUCAGACAGAAUUGCUUCCUAAAUACCAUCACAAAGCAAUGCUUAAUGUCAGCGUUGCAAAGCAUUUCUGACAGUGUGGUUUGAAAAUCCGGAGCAGACUCUCGGCUCUUCAGGGAUGUUCUGGCAACAUAGCUGUGUGUUCCCAGGGCCUCUGAAGGUUCCGGCUGGGCCUCUGCAGCGACGCCUCAACGGCCCUGAGGAGGAACUCUCGCCGCUAACAGCAUGCAGGAUUCAUUUCCUGUGCACAGCUACACACACUGAAGAAGUGUAAUUAAUAAAUUAUACCUAGGACGGGAACAGAUCAGGGGACAAGCAGAGGCUCUUCACACCUUAGAUCACGCUUGGUAAACUUCUAUAAAAUGUCAGACAGUAAAUAAUUAGGCUCAGUAGGCCACAAGUCACUGUGUGCUGGGAAAGAACCCGGACAGUGUGCAAAUGGUGGUGACAGCUUUAUGCUGAUAAAAUUUUAUUUUUAAAAGCAGUCAUUUGCGGACCCUGCUUUAAAUAGAGACAGAGUUUUGGAUAGGAAUGGAAUCCGAGAGAGAGGAAAGCAGGCAGGUGGGUGAAAGGACCUCAGCGUCUGCUUCAAUCUCACCAGCAAGCAGAAGCUCCAGACUUCGAGCUAAGAUGGCAAAGAAGAGGCGCUUCUAGAAGUGUCAUCUUCCAAAAUUCACUGAAAACAGAGGAAGAUGGCAGGGAAAAGCCAUCCCUGAAACCAGCCGUUUUCACAUGCCUGGCACCUACAAACCGCAAGGCACAGGGGCCAACAACUAGAAGCUGCUGACUAGAAGAGGGCGGCCCAGAAAGCAAAGGCCUCUCUCCCAGAGGCGAGUGGGGAGGGAACGUCCCGGAGGCGAGUGGGGAGGGAGUGUCCCGGAGCCAAGACAGGAGCCUGGGCGUGCACCAGGAGUACAGGAGGAGGAAGGAGGCAGCUUCAGAAUCGAAGGAGUGACAGGGAGCGACCCCCACCCCAACACAGGCAAAGAGACACACAAAAGCCAGGCCAGCCACCCAGCCAAGGAGCUCUGGACCCUGCCUCUCCCUGAGCUGUUCUUUGCCAACUGCAGGCUCCACCUGAAGAGAAGCCAUCACAAUGAAGCUACUGCGAGAGAGACCGAUGGAUCCAGGGAUGAGGCCACCAGCAACAGGCAGCGACACACAACCUCAAAAAAGUUCUCUCACAGAAAGCUCAAGGAACAGAUACAAGACUUCAGAGAAGGGAUAACAGAAAAAAGGUGGCAAAUGAGCUAGGAGAGCUCAGGAGAAGAAAGGAUGAUCCCGAGGAGAGGCUUCCGAGGGGAGCCGGCACACGCCCGGGGAGCUCAGGAAAGCAAAGCUCUGCUGUGUCCCCCAACGCUCCAAGGCCCUUCCCGGCGUGGACCCCACGAUCCAGGCACCAACUCCCCAUCUUACCCUUUAAAUACUCUCUGAUCCGCUCCUUCAGUUCCACAGAUUUAUUUUUGCUUCUUUCACAAAUUACCUAUUGGAAAAAAAAGUGUGUCUAAAUCU